CACACACACACACACACAGACAAACAGCAUAUCUUCAAAGAGAUGUACAAGCUCAUGUGCUGUGAUGAAGACCCGCAUCAGACUGGACAAUGGGCAGCUGGACAUGCUGAUCAGUCAGCUGCAACAGGUAGUCCAUGGCAGGAUUUGACUUCCAGGCAGCUGUCAACCACUUUCUGCAGGCACCUAGGCACCUGUAAACUGCAGCAACAUCACAUGAUCAAUAGAGUUAAUAAACACACCAGGAGGAAAGUCUUUCCAUGAAGUGUUCAGUGGAAAAGAAGGAUGAGAGAAACAUGCCUGUGUUUUCUGACGUCAACCAGAACUCAGAGCAGCUGUGAGGUCAGAGGG